GUACAAAGGUAGCAUAAUAAGUUGUUUUUUAAUUAAAGACUGGAAUGAAAGAAUUGAUGAAAUUUAAACUUUCUAAAAUUUAAAAUUUAAAUUUUUUUAUUAAGUAAAAAGACUUAAAUUGAUUUAUGGGACGAGAAGACCCUAUAGAAUUUUAUAUAGUUUAUCUUAAAAUUUUAUUUAAACUAUAUUUAGUUGGGAGGACUAUUAAAACUUAAAACUUUAAUAUAUUUAAAAUAUUACUUUGAUAAAAGGAAUUUAAAAAUUAAUAAUUUAUAAUUAAUUUAAUAUUAAUUACCUUAGGGAUAACAGCAUAAUAUUUUUUUUUAGAUCAUAUAUAAAAAAUUGUUUAUGACCUCGAUGUUGAAAUUAAGAUAAAAUUUGAAAGGAGAUUUUUAAAUUUUUGGU
rnacentral:rRNA from 1 species